ensembl:lncRNA
GGGGGAUUGGCAGCAGAUGUUGGCUCAGGGCUAAUCUUCCUCAGAAAUAAAUAAAUAAAUAAAUAAAUAAAUAACAGUACCUACUUCACAGACCUGUCAUGAGACUUUAGCAACUAAGACAUGUAGAAACACCCAGAACAGCGGUUGGCGUGCGGAAAAGACCCCAAACGUCAGCUGGCUAUGAGGACUGGCCUCCUGUCCCUAUGACAGAGGAGGACCAGGCAUGGGGUCCUGAUGGCCUCGGGCACUCAGUGCAGGCAGGUGAAGGCCUUGGGACUGGAGUGGUGCCACUGCCCAUUGAUGACACGGCCACCCUUUGACUGGUCACUUCCUGAAGGACAGAUGGUGAGCGGGCUCUGGGGUCAGCCCCCGUGGACGCAGGUGGCACAACUCGAACCAGGUGCCCUGUUGUUGGAUCUACUCACCCAUGUGCCUGGAGAUAAGAGAGGUGGGCAGUUACCGAGUUCCUGUGGCCGAAAGUGGAUGAUGGACACAGCCAGGGAGGGCCGACUGGCUGAGGAGCAGAGCUGGGGCCCAGAUCCCUAGAAGCUCACCUCAGUGGCCACCCCUGAACCCUCAUCUGGGAGCAGGAAUGGGUGCGGCUGUGCUCCUCACUACAGAUUGUUCUCCUUUCCCUGGACUGAGAAGCCAAGCAGUGGAUUUGGGGUGUGACCAGCGAUGGUAGUGAGUUUGGGGGUCUCUGGGCUCCCACAAGCAGCCAGGGCUUGGAGCCUCUGCUCCUCUAACAGGAGUGUCACCGAGUGGACACAGUGUAAGUGGGACUCAGAGGUAUUUGAGGCCGGUCAGAGGUGCUGGGAACUUGUGAUUUCUGGAUCUGCGUGUGGAUUAGACAGGAGCUGGCAGCUUAGAAAGUUCCACACAGAUGACAUCAGCAUUCUCUCGAUGGACAUAGACUUGAGCAAAACGUGCACUUGAGAAAAGAGAAUGUAGAGUGGCUGCAGUCCCUCACUCCAGGCCCCAUGUGGGGGGCUCCCAGGACCCCAGAGGAAGCAGGGCUUCUUGGUAGCCCACCCGGGACCACAGCCCACCUGGGUAAUGGGAGGUCCAGGUGGACGCCAGCUUGGGGUGGAGGAGCCGGGGAGGCGGACAUCAGGGAUGUGGUCCUCCAGGCUCUGGCCUGCGGGUAUUAGGGUGGGAGCCAGGUCUGCACAGAUGGUGAUUGUCAGGCCUGGAAAGAGUGCGGCCUGGUCUCCUCCACGCUCUGAUCACACAGGAGUCUCCCAGACAUCAGCCUUGCUGAAGUCUUUUCUAGUCACUAUCAUCUAAACCUUCAAUGUUCCUUGUUUACCGUGAGGCAAGAGGACCCGUCAGAGGGACGUCCCCAGGAACGAGGUCUGCUCCUUGCGGGCUCCCUUAGAGGGUCCUGGCUACCUCGGGCAUAUGCUGUGGACACGGCCACAUUUCUACCCUGUGUCCACGUCCUUGUGGCCAGCAGCAGUUGGAGGAAGGUCAGCAUCUGUCCACAGGCAUCGUCACAUGAUUUUGACCUUGGGGCCUCCAGGACCCUCAGCCUCUGGGCUCAGGGUCGGGACAUCGCUGGGGACUCACAGGGACUCUCAUUCCCACCUCCUCCAGCCUGUGGCGGGGCUCUGCCUGGUGACCUCACUUGUCCACCUGGAGGGAGCGGGGGGAGGGGGUGUCCGAGUGAGUCCCCACUCCUGGCCGGGGUUUGGGGUGAGGCUGUCCACCUGUUGGCCGCCCCACCUGACCCUCCCACAGGACAUUGUGCCCACGGCCCACCCCCUCCAGACCCCUCCCUGCUGCUGACAGCCUCUGGCCUCUGCGGAGACCCUCUGCUGCCAUGGUUCUGGACACCUCUCAACAGUGUGUUAACAAUCAGAUGAUGAAGACAGUGACCGACAGCUGCUAAUGCUGUCUGUGCGUCAGCGCACAUGUGUGUGUGUGUGCGCACAUGUGUGUGAUAAUCUCUUCAUUUACUGAUGGGUAAACUGAGGCCCUGCUAGCUGCCGUGGGGGGCUCAGCCUCACACAGGGGACCCGGAGCCUCCAACACCCACAGCUGGAGGUGCCCACGACACCUCUCUUUUUCCAUUUUCAUUGUGCUCAUUUGUUCAUUCAUUCGUUCAUUUUAAGCAGCUUUAUUGCAUUAUAAUUCACGUUCCACACAUUUGCCACUGAGAGGGUGCACUCCGAUGUCUUUGGCGUUUUCGUGGAUAAAGCCAUCACCACGGGCAACCUCGGGACACUUUCAUCACCACAGAGGGAACCUGUACCCUUUACCUGACUGCCCCCCACAAUGGGCAGGUUCGACCGUGACAGUUGGCGAUGUCCAGUGCCAGUGACUUCCUGCUUCACUGCGGCUCUGGGAGCGCCAUCCGGUCCUGCUCACUCCUACUACAGACUGGCCCCAGGCAGGAGUGUGGGGCAGGGGCCUCCUUAAGUGGCCCAGACCUGCCUGGAGCUACUGAAAACGUGGACACAGAGUAGCAGAAACAGAGAGGCCCCUCCUUGACUCCUCGAACAUCGCCUCCGUUCCCCAAGGCCACAGACACUGUGCCCUCAAAUCUCCCCCAGUGGCAGGGACGCUGACCCAGCACGGGCCCCACGGGGACACCCAGGUUAGAAGAGUUAACAUGGCACAGUGUCGUGGGUGUGGCUGUGGUUCUGUGCAGGGCCAAUUCCGGGGGUCUUCACCUGGUGGGUGUCCCCAAGCACACUCACCACCCGCUGCGUCCGCCCCUGAGUGAGGAUGUGGGGCCCCCACUCUCCCCUUCCCAGACAGACCCUCAGCAGAUGACAGACCCUGGGCUCUGGAGCUUCGAUUCAAGCUCUGGAAAUGUCCUCCAGGCCCAGAGUGCGGAGACAGGCAGAGCUGGCCCCAGAGCAGGGUGGGGGUCCCACAGCAGAGGUCUCGGGGGCGUCCCUCAUCCAUCCUGGGGGCUCAGGGAGGUGAGCACCAGGCUGCCUGGCUCCACUACCUACUGGCCCACAGUGGUGCCAGUGUGUGCCCCACCUUCCUGGCUGACGGUCUCUCGGGAGGCCUUGGGUUCACUGGGAAGACAACUGAUCUGGGAAUGAGACAUCGGGGUGGACCUCAAACUCUUGCUCGCCAGCCCUGUGGCCCUGAGCAAGUCCCUUGACCUUCAGGUGAAGCCUCACAUGAUGCCCCAGGUGAGCCCCAGGUGAGCCCCAGGUAAAGCCCCACAUGAUGCCCCAGGUGAGCCCCAGGUGAGCCCCAGGUGAAGCACCACAUGAAGCCCCAUGUGAGCCCCAGGUGAGCCCCAGGUGAGCCCCAGGUGAGUCCCAGGUGAAGCCCCAGGUGAGCCCCAGGUGAGCCCCAGGUGAAGCCCCAGGUGAGCCCCAGGUGAGACCGGCACAAGGUCCUCCCCUGCAGCUCUCUGUCCUCUGCACACUCCAGGCUCCACCCGAGGGACGUGGCGGAGGGUCCCUGACAGCCAGUCCUGGCCAGAGAGGAUGUCUGCCCUCGAUUCUCAGCAUUUUCACGGAAACAAGCAGAUCCAGCACGAGGCUGAAUCCCCCUCCCUGGGGACUUGGAGACCACAAGGGCAGCGGCUCCUCAUGCAACACGUCCCCUGGCAAAGGGCACCUCGCUGCCACCAUCACCCAGGGGACGGGCCUGGGCCCACGACAGUCCAGCAGAUCUGGACGCUCUGUGCUGCUGACGGGGAGAGCGUGGGGCUGCAUCAGGCCGUGAAAGUGUCAGAGGUCGGGGGCGAGGUUCCUCGUGGAUCCGCCUGGAAGCAGCUGCCGAGCAGGCUCUUCACGUUGGCAGUUGUCGCUGAGCAGCCUGUGCUGGAAACUCCUGUCUCACCGUCUUGC